GAUGUGGCUCAGUGGUAGAGCAUUUGCCUAGCAUGUCUAAGGCCUUGGGUUCAAACCCCAGCAUAUACA
rnacentral:tRNA from 1 species